rnacentral:ribozyme from 1 species
GGGUGCCCGCUCCUCGCAGGGAGGCGCGCGCUGAGGGCGGCCGC